GGUGGUGCAUGGCUGUCGUCAGCUCGUGUCGUGAGAUGUUGGGUUAAGUCCCGCAACGAGCGCAACCCUUAUCCUACGUUGCCAGCGCGUUAUGGCGGGGACUCGUGGGAGACUGCCGGGGUCAACUCGGAGGAAGGUGGGGAUGACGUCAAGUCAUCAUGCCCCUUAUGUCCAGGGCUUCACACAUGCUACAAUGGCUGGUACAGAGGGCUGCGAUACCGCGAGGUGGAGCGAAUCCCUUAAAGCCGGUCUCAGUUCGGAUCGCAGUCUGCAACUCGACUGCGUGAAGUCGGAGUCGCUAGUAAUCGCAGAUCAGCAACGCUGCGGUGAAUACGUUCCCGGGCCUUGU
rnacentral:rRNA from 1 species